GGGGGAUAUUCCAACUAAAACAUUAUUGCGAUUUCUUAAUUCAUUUAGAUCUAGCUCACUGUAGCUUAUGGUGCCCUGUCUGCCCCAAUAUAUGUGGUCAAACCAUUUAAAAUACUUUGACAACUUACCUCAAGAAGCAAGGUGCUUCCUUUAGCUCUAUUGUGUUAUAGCAGCAUUAUCACAUUUUUUUUUUUGACGGUUUUGGAAUUUCACCAACGCCUGAUACUUGAAGACACUUGUACACACUGAGCGGAGCUAUUGCCAUCUAGAAGUGUCAAGACUUUAGGUGCCCAUGAGGGACAGAUUCAGGUAAGUAGAACUCACCUUUACCUGCCAUUCCAGAGGAGGACCUGAACCUGUCCCUCUCGGGCGCCACCAUCUUGGUUCUGCAUGGUCCUCCUUUGCUCUGCUACAGCAUUGAGAUUUAUAGGGGAUCCCACAUAGACACAGCAGUCACUGAUUACGAUUGCAUGGAUUGACAGUUGGACUCUGCCUUGUGUCAAGAAAAGUCAAGCGGAGGAGAAACACAGAGACAAAGUAGUCCCUAGUCCCUACUUUGUCUCUGUAUAUAUCUUGACUAGGUUGGAAUUUCAGUCAGUAUGAGUAUUUCACAACGAUUCUAUCUUUAUAAAAUACAAAUCUUUCAGGGGG